ensembl:lncRNA
CUCCUCAGUAGUGAACAGGAUCUGUAAAAGCUGCUGGCAAUCAUCCCAGUUUGGCUGAUGGUUUCACCACCUGCCUCACAAGCACAAGGUACUGAGUUUGAUCACCAAUACCAAAAAAAAAAUAAGAAGAAGAAGAAGAGGUGCUGGGCCAGGGAUUUAGUUCAGUGGCUCCACCGCCUGCCUCAGAAGCAGAAGGACUCGAGUUCAAUACCGGGGUUCUCUUGGCUUGGAUGGUCUUAUCCAGUGUCCACAAACCUGCUAUGGGCAAGCUGGCUGCCAUCAUCUCUAUCUACAUUAAGUCUAUCCAGAGUCUCUGAAAAGUAGCUGUAUACUAAGACUGAGUCUCCACUUACCUGUAAUACAAGUCAUAUGGAUAAAUAGCAACCAAAAAUGGAAUUUUUCAAUAGAACCUAAAAUAUAGAGAAAUAGCACUAGCUAAUUGAGAAAAUAGUGGUAUACUGGCUG